AAAAGCAAAAACAAAAAACAUCUUCAAAUAGCAAGUCAUUCUGCUGCAGUAUUUGACAAGUGCAAGCUAAGGACCCUUUCACUUUUCUCCGGUUGCUUCUUCCUUCGCCAUCCAAAGCUGUACCUAAACAAACAAGAAUUGAAAGGAAUCAUAUUCUCAUUGUCACCAAAAGCUUUUUUUGUUCAGAAUAUUUAUAUAUAAGAACAAAUCCAGCUACAAAAGCUGUACGUAGUUUUCAUAUACCAUCAAUUAUCUAUCUGCUCUAUCCCUCUCUCUUUCUUCUUUUCUCUUUUUACUUCUGUGUUGAGGAUUUUCUAAUUAUUGAGUUUAUCAGACAUGUAUGAGCCACCAAAAUAUGGUUAUCCAUACCCCUCUCAAGGUCAAGGAUAUUAUCAGGGUCCUCCUCCUCCAGUGAUGGCGCCACCAACAUAUGCAGCUGCUCCUCCACCUCAGAAAAACAGAGGUUUUCUUGAAGGAUGCCUAGCAGCUCUGUGUUGUUGUUGCCUGAUAGAUGAGUGUUGCUGUGAUCCGUCUAUUAUCUGUAUGUGGUAAGGAUUAAGGUGUGCCGGCUGCCAAUUUCAGUUAUUUCUUCUGCUUUUUACCAAAAUAAGAAUUGUAAUGUAAAUAAGUUCUUUAGGAACAAUAGUAUUAAUUGGGAGUUUAUCUUGUAAUUAUCUUCUUUUAAUUAUUGAACUCUACUCAUACGAAGCAAAGCAUUAAUUAUAUGAGCAUUGCGUGCCACACAAUUAUCCUUA